AGAGUUUGAUCAUGGCUCAGGAUGAACGCUAGCGGCAGGCUUAACACAUGCAAGUCNAGGGGUAGAAGCAGCUUGCUGCUUUGAGACCGGCGCACGGGUGCGUAACGCGUAUACAAUCUACCUUUUACAGAGGGAUAGCCCAGAGAAAUUUGGAUUAAUACCUCAUAGUAUUUUCGAAUCGCAUGAUUUGAUUAUUAAAGUUCCAACGGUAAAAGAUGAGUAUGCGUCCCAUUAGCUAGAUGGUAAGGUAACGGCUUACCAUGGCAACGAUGGGUAGGGGUCCUGAGAGGGAGAUCCCCCACACUGGUACUGAGACACGGACCAGACUCCUACGGGAGGCAGCAGUGAGGAAUAUUGGACAAUGGGCGCAAGCCUGAUCCAGCCAUGCCGCGUGCAGGAAGACGGUCCUAUGGAUUGUAAACUGCUUUUAUACAGGAAGAAACACACCCUCGUGAGGGUACUUGACGGUACUGUAUGAAUAAGCAUCGGCUAACUCCGUGCCAGCAGCCGCGGUAAUACGGAGGAUGCAAGCGUUAUCCGGAAUCAUUGGGUUUAAAGGGUCCGUAGGCGGCCAAAUAAGUCAGUGGUGAAAGCCCAUCGCUCAACGAUGGAACGGCCAUUGAUACUGUUUGGCUUGAAUUAUUAGGAAGUAACUAGAAUAUGUAGUGUAGCGGUGAAAUGCUUAGAGAUUACAUGGAAUACCAAUUGAGAAGGCAGGUUACUACUAAUAUAUUGACGCUGAUGGACGAAAGCGUGGGGAGCGAACAGGAUUAGAUACCCUGGUAGUCCACGCCGUAAACGAUAGAUACUAGCUGUUCGGAGCAAUCUGAGUGGCUAAGCGAAAGUGAUAAGUAUCCCACCUGGGGAGUACGUUCGCAAGAAUGAAACUCAAAGGAAUUGACGGGGGCCCGCACAAGCGGUG
rnacentral:rRNA from 1 species